UAUUUAUACGCACGGAGCAAAUGUUGCGGAAAUUCUCUCUCCUCUCUAUCGCGCGCGCGUUGGGUCUUCACGUGCGAUUCUGUACAUUCCUGGACGGGCUCUUCGUCUCGCGCUCGAUUCGAUUCGAUUCAGUUCUCAGAAGCUUUCGUCAUGUCUAAUAGAGUUCUUUGCAAGUUCUUUGCACAUGGAGCGUGUCUAAAAGGGGAGCAUUGCGAGUUUUCUCAUGACUGGAAGGAUCCACCAAAUAAUAUUUGCACCUAUUAUCAGAGAGGGGCAUGCUCCUAUGGUAGUCGGUGUAGAUAUGAGCAUGUAAGGGUUUCUCGCUCUCGUACUUCUACUGCAUCUUCAUCAUCAAGUUCUCGCCAGGCUUUUGCUUUAGAUUCUGGUCCUCUAGCUCAUCCUUCCUCAACUGCAUCAACUGUGGUAACUUCAACUCCCAGUGUUUCUUCUGAUGUUUUAGCUUUAAGUGGGCCUUUAUUUCCUCCAACAAAACCAGCAUGGAGCCAGGAAUCUCCACAUCAUGAUUUCUUUGAGAAUGGUGAUCCAGUGGAGUCUCUGGAGUCUCUGAGUAUAAGGCCAUCUGACAAACCUAUUUGUUCAUUUGCUGCUGCUGGUAAUUGUCCACGUGGGGAAAAAUGCCCCCAUGUUCAUGGGGAAUUAUGUCCCUCUUGUGGAAAACAUUGUUUGCAUCCUUUCAGACCCGAGGAAAGAGAGGAACAUGUAAGAACAUGUGAGAAAAAACAAAAGCAUCUUGAAUCGUUGAAGCACAGCCAAGAAAUAGAAUGCAGUGUGUGCCUUGAACGUGUUCUGUCGAAACCCACACCAGCUGAACGGAAGUUUGGUUUGUUAUCAGAAUGUGAUCAUCCAUUCUGUAUAACCUGUAUUAGGAAUUGGCGUAAUAGUUCUCCAACAUCUGGGAUGGAUGUCAAUACCGCAUUGAGGGCCUGUCCAAUAUGUCGCAAGCUUUCAUACUUCGUCAUACCCAGUGUUAUUUGGUAUACCACAAAAGAAGAGAAACAAGAAAUUGUUGACAGCUACAAAGCAAAGCUCAGGUCCAUUAAUUGCAAAUACUUUGACUUUGGAAAUGGAGCAUGUCCAUUUGGGACCAGUUGUUUUUACAAGCAUGAAUACCGUGAUGGGCGUACAGAGGAAGUAGUUCUGCGGCACCUUGGUGCUGAAGAUGGAAACAUUGUUAUAGCUAAAAAUAUUAGGCUUUCAGAUUUCCUUGGUAGCUUGCACAUAAGGUGAAGUGAGCUGCUGUUUGAAACUUGCAGUGAUGCCUAAUAAUAUUAUGAAGAAAAUAUGUGGGACCUGAGAUGCCAAUAUUUUCUUGAAUUUCUGUACCCUACAUCGCAUAAGGAAAAUAUGAUGUGUCAGCAUUGCUGAUGAUAGUGUUAUGUGUGGAAGUUGUCUUCUAUUAAGGAUGUUAUAUUGCCUUCAUCGCUGAAGGCUGAAAUUGCUGUACUGUACAUGCUUGUUUUUUUUUUUUCGCUUCUUCUGUUGAAACAAGGUAAAUCCUACAUGGAUUAAGCACAAUAGCUGUUUGCUUUUGCCUUACAUGGUUUUACUUCUUGCCUCUGAUGGAAGGUCCACUGGUCUGGUUUUGGUAAGCGGUGUGCCACAUUACCUGGGAUGAACCGAGGGUAACUGUCACUAUUCCUUAUUUGUGUUGGAUGUGCGCGUUAUCUGUAUCAUAUUCUCAUAUGCUGUUUAUGCAAUGUACCCAUGCGGACGCGUGCGAGGUGGGAAUGGGAGUAGUGAAUGGCUUGCUGGAUUUGAGGCAGCAGAUCGGGGGAAUAAACAAGUUUUCCUUUCAUACUGAAUAAAGUAAGGGCGUGCAGCAAAGUUUAUGCCUCCAUGGAAUGGGUUUGAGGUUUUUAUUGUAAAUCAGCCCCUUUCAGGACAAUGAAUUAUGUAAAAAUUUUAAGCGCCCAUGCCCCAUCUUUCCUCUGCCUCAUCCGGAAGACACACAGAAACUCUAUAGAUGUAGACUGCAAUACCCUACCAGGUUCUGAGCAAUGUUGCUUCAUAGUUGGGUGGUUUGAAAAUAUUAUUAUUAUUAUUGUUAGUAUGAGUUAUUUGAGCUCCAUUGGGGAGCUUCUGCCAAAGUUGCUAUGUCAAGUUAUACCAGAUUUUGUUGGACAUGUGAUAUGAUUGUGAGUUUGACACUUGAGCUAUAUGUUUCGCAAUGGUCUUUGUAAAUUUUAAAAAGGACGUGGGGGGAUGUUCUCUGGAAUGGUGAUAGCAAAUUUGGUAAUGAAUUAGAAGUUUUGGCAUGGUUCA